rnacentral:rRNA from 1 species
ACGCUGGCGGCACGCCUAAUACAUGCAAGUCGAACGAAGUAGCAAUACUUAGUGGCAGACGGGUGAGUAACAUGUAGGUAUCUUCCCUUCGGUGAGGAAUAACACGAGGAAACUUGUGCUAAUACCUCAUAAGUCUUCACGGAGAAAGCUUUAUGCGCCGAUGGAUGAGCCUGCACUUGAUUAGUUUGUUGGUAGGGUAAUGGCCUACCAAGACAAUGAUCAAUAGCUGAUUUGAGAGGAUGAUCAGCCACAUUGGGACUGAGACACGGCCCAAACUCCUACGGGAGGCAGCAGUAGGGAAUCUUGCACAAUGGGGGAAACCCUGAUGCAGCGAUGCCGCGUGAGUGAAGAAGGCCUUUGGGUUGUAAAGCUCUUUCGUCGGGGAAGAAAAUGACUGUACCCGAAUAAGAAGGUCCGGCUAACUUCGUGCCAGCAGCCGCGGUAAUACGAAGGGACCUAGCGUAGUUCGGAAUUACUGGGCUUAAAGAGUUCGUAGGUGGUUAAAAAAGUUGGUGGUGAAAUCCCAGAGCUUAACUCUGGAACUGCCAUCAAAACUUUUUAGCUAGAGUAUGAUAGAGGAAAGCAGAAUUUCUAGUGUAGAGGUGAAAUUCGUAGAUAUUAGAAAGAAUACCAAUUGCGAAGGCAGCUUUCUGGAUCAUUACUGACACUGAGGAACGAAAGCAUGGGUAGCGAAGAGGAUUAGAUACCCUCGUAGUCCAUGCCGUAAACGAUGUGUGUUAGACGUUGGAAAUUUAUUUUCUGUGUCGCAGCGAAAGCAAUAAACACACCGCCUGGGGAGUACGACCGCAA